CGUAGGGCGCAAGCGUUGUCCGGAAUUAUUGGGCGUAAAGAGCUCGUAGGCGGCUUGUCACGUCGGGUGUGAAAGCCCGGGGCUUAACCCCGGGUCUGCAUUCGAUACGGGCUGGCUAGAGUGUGGUAGGGGAGAUCGGAAUUCCUGGUGUAGCGGUGAAAUGCGCAGAUAUCAGGAGGAACACCGGUGGCGAAGGCGGAUCUCUGGGCCAUUACUGACGCUGAGGAGCGAAAGCGUGGGGAGCGAACAGGAUUAGAUACCCUGGUAGUCCACGCCGUAAACGGUGGGAACUAGGUGUUGGCGACAUUCCACGUCGUCGGUGCCGCAGCUAACGCAUUAAGUUCCCCGCCUGGGGAGUACGGCCGCAAGGCUA
rnacentral:rRNA from 1 species